AGGAUAUCCAAAUCACUACCACACCAACUCGGUAGGGCUUUUCCCGUUCCCUUUCCUCUUCCUUUCCUCUCUGGCCGGUCUCUGGAAGUGCUGGAUCCUAGCAGUAACCUCAGCAUCAGAAAACAUUUAGGCAAUGCUGGAGUCUGGCACUACCUGCAUGAUGAAAUAUUUCUGCUGCCUAUCCAAUUGGAUCAGCUUCCAAGAUUCUUCCACAAACCCCUGAAGUUACUUUGCUCUAUUGUGGACACUCCUCAGAAGUCUGCCAUACUGUGAUUACUCGAGGAGCAUAGGAUCUGGUGCAGUAUUUUCAGUGCAGAACUUGAAGAAAUUAACUGGUUCUCAAAACAACAGCUACAAGUGACAUUAAAACUACAAGCAUG